rnacentral:lncRNA from 1 species
GAGACAUCUACUUGCAUAUUAACAUCAGCUCACCACCUUCCCUGUUCACCAAUGAGAGGGCUUUUGCUGGUCGCAGACUGACAAUACAUAGGCUGUAGCCAGCCCCAGGCUGAAUUCAAACGCAAUGGACAAAGCCACACAUAGGGAUGCACAUGGGAGGCAGCACUGAGGAGGCAGAGGCAGGCAGAUCUCUAAAAGUUUGAGCCCAGCCUGGUCUAUCUAUACAGUGAGUUCUAAGACAGCCAGGGCUACAUAGACACCAUCUCAAAACCUGAAACAAAACAAUAACAACAAAAGAGUAAUGGGCAAAGUUGUCUGGCUGAGGAAAUUUUAGUAUAGACUAAUAUCUAGGCCAAGGCCUGGUUGUGGUAUGGAUUUUGCUUACUUUUUCACCAAUAUUUACAGGGAGAGAAGAGGGAGUGGAAUGGAAAGAAGUGAA